rnacentral:rRNA from 1 species
GACGAACGCUGGCGGCGUGCUUAACACAUGCAAGUCGAGCGGUAAGGCCCUUUCGGGGGUACACGAGCGGCGAACGGGUGAGUAACACGUGGGUGACCUGCCCUUAGCUCUGGGAUAAGCCUGGGAAACGUGGGUCGUAAUACCGGAUAUGACUCCAUGACGGCAGUGUUGUGGGGUGGAAAGCCUUGUGCGGCUAGGGAUGGGCCCGCGGCCUAUCAGCUUGUUGGUGGGGUGAUGGCCUACCAAGGCGACGACGGGUAGCCGGCCUGAGAGGGCGACCGGCCACACUGGGACUGAGACACGGCCCAGACUCCUACGGGAGGCAGCAGUGGGGAAUCUUGCGCAAUGGGCGAAAGCCUGACGCAGCGACGCCGCGUGGGGAUGACGGCCUC